GAUGAACGCUGGCGGCGUGCCUAACACAUGCAAGUCGAGCGAUUUACUUCGGUAAAGAGCGGCGGACGGGUGAGUAACGCGUGGGUAACCUGCCUCAUACACAUGGAUAACAUACCGAAAGGUAUGCUAAUACAAGAUGAUAUAAGAGAUUCGCAUGGAUUUCUUAUCAAAGCUCCGGCGGUAUGAGAUGGACCCGCGUCUGAUCAGCUAGUUGGUAGGGUAACGGCUUACCAAGGCGACGAUCAGUAGCCGACCUGAGAGGGUGAUCGGCCACAUUGGAACUGAGACACGGUCCAAACUCCUACGGGAGGCAGCAGUGGGGAAUAUUGCACAAUGGGCGAAAGCCUGAUGCAGCAACGCCGCGUGAGCGAUGAAGGCCUUCGGGUCGUAAAGCUCUGUCCUCAAGGAAGAUAAUGACGGUACUUGAGGAGGAAGCCCCGGCUAACUACGUGCCAGCCGCCGCCGUAACAC
rnacentral:rRNA from 1 species